CACCUCCUCCACUGGCGCGAGUCCCCGGCCUCUGGGUCCCAAAGGAUGGGGCAUGGGUAGCCAGCUGCAGAGACGUACCCACAUGGAGGGCCUCACCCCAAAUCAAAGCAGGGAAAGGAGCCUGCCUCCUAAGCCACUCCCCAUAAUCCUGUUGGAAGCCACCAGCCUCUGCGGACACUGACUUGGGAACCAGAGCUGGGGAGGAAAGAGCAAGCUGACCGGGCUCCGGGGAGCUCCAGGCGGAUGCAGAAGAGGAGAUGCUCACACUCCGGAACAGUGAAGGAGACUGGGACCCUUUCUCAGCCGCUGCCAUCCGACGGACGCUGCUUCCCCCCUCAGAUUGGGGCCUCUCUGGGGCAGGGGGCUGCCUCCCCUUGGCGGGGGGACCUCUGGCCAGGCAGGAGGGGCCGCGACUUCCGCGUCUGCCCAGAGGCGCCCGGCGGGCGGCCCCCCCAGACCAGAGGUUCCCGGAGCCAAGGCGCUGCCUC